rnacentral:lncRNA from 1 species
UUCCAACAUUAAAGGUGGUCAUGCCUAGCUUUUACCACACGCUGGAUAGGUGCCACACACUACUCUAGAAAGAGCAUACAACUAAGAGCAAGACAGCGUUCUUGUUUUUUAAAAACUCACAUGCUUCCCAGCAAUGAAAACAGAAAACACACAAGAAGUAAAUGUAUAAGAUAGCACACAAUGACCAUAAGAUGUAUGAUGGUGCAAAGGGGGAAAGUGACUGGGGCCCCAUUGGAGAAAGAAAAGAGACACACUCAUACAGUGAGCAGUCUGAAGGAUGUCUUUGUUAUAAAGUGCUAUUUUAGGAGAGACCUAAAUAAAGUCAAGAGUCAAAUCAUGCAAAUAUCUGGGAAAUGCUACUGAAGUUGAAAAGCAGACUUGUCCUGAGACUAAGUAUGUGCGUCAUCACUGAGGAACAGGGAGACUGGGGUAGCCGACUUGGAGAAGGAGAAAGUCAUGCUAAGAGAUGAGGUCACCACCACAGUGGCCAGACUAAGACUUUUGAUGGAGAUCUCUAAUGCCUAUGACCAGGACAGACUGAUUGUCACACUGUUCUUAUUACAUAAACUAGGCAUGGCCACCUUUAAUGUUGGAACAUGGCAACUGUCAUCAGGACAGGUAAAGUAUACAGUGAGAUUUAAUUCAAAAUACUUAAUAGCUUUAGGUUCUAAUGAGUAUAAUACAAAGACAGGGCAUCA